GGUGUGGAAGCUUUUUAAAGUAUUAAAUUCUUAAUUUAAAAGAAGGGAAGUAGAAAAUAAGUAAUAUUCCCCCAUAUUA
rnacentral:tRNA from 1 species